rnacentral:rRNA from 1 species
AAUGGGUUCUAUUCCCAAACCGUGUAUACAUACCUUUGUUGCUUUGGCAGGCCGCCUUUUAGGCGUCGGCUCCGGCUGACUGCGCUUGCCAGAGGACCCAAACUCGUUUGUUUAGUGAUGUCUGAGUACUAUACAAUAGUUAAAACUUUCAACAACGGAUCUCUUGGUUCUGGCAUCGAUGAAGAACGCAGCGAAAUGCGAUAAGUAAUGUGAAUUGCAGAAUUCAGUGAAUCAUCGAAUCUUUGAACGCACAUUGCGCCCCUUGGUAUUCCGAGGGGCAUGCCUGUUCGAGCGUCAUUAUAACCACUCAAGCCUCGGCUUGGUCUUGGGGUUCGCGGUCUCGCGGCCCUUAAAAUCAGUGGCGGUGCCGUCUGGCUCUAAGCGUAGUAAUUCUCUCGCUAUAGAGUCCCGGUGGCUACCUGCCAGAACCCCCCAUUUUUUACGGU